rnacentral:lncRNA from 1 species
UGCAUUCUUUAAAUCCAAAACAAUUCAAAUCAAAAAUUCCAUUAAAGUCUAGAAAAAUUGAAUAUUAAUUCCAUUUGUUUCUCUUCAUUGUCAAUUAUCUCCCUUUUGGCUAAGUUCUAGCAAUUCAUCAAAGCUGAAAAAAAAAAAAAAAAAAAAAGAGAGAGAGUAAGGUAUAGGAAACAAGAAUAUAAAGAAAUAAUGCAAAGUUAGAUCCAUUAUUGUAACCUCUUGCACUUCGUUAGAAGUCUUCCUAAGAUACCGAUACCGGUCUAAUGUUAUUUUGACUUUUACGUUUUUUUUGCUUAAGUAUAUUCUACGUUUUUAUAGAUUGUAAUAUUAUCUUUUGUAAUCCCAUAUUUUUAUAUAUUUAUUUUUGAUUUUGCAAAUAAUUUUUUUUUUAUUAAUGAUACCGAUACCGGUCUCACUACUGGAAACAGAUUUAUUACCAGUAUCAUAAAAAAUCUCAAACAAUAAACAAAUAUUAAAAUUAAUACUAAAAAAUUGUUAAUGAUACUCUAUGAGUAUCAACUAUGUGGAUGCUCUAAGUGACUCUAUCUGACCGAUUUUUGGUGAAAUCAGACAGUACAUGAGGUAGAAUCCGACCCAAACGAGACAUGUUAGGUAACAGAAGACGAUCAAAAGAGGGGAAAUCGAAGAAUUCCAAAGAAACAAAUCCAAAUCACACUCCAUUAAUCCAAAUCACCAUUCACCCUAACAUCUAGCGAAAACCAUUCGGAUUCUCAGCACUCAAUUCGAAGCAAACAAACAUAUAAUCCAACUCGAAGCAAAGAUUGAUAUGAACGAAUUAUAUUCCAGUGUAAAUCACGAGGAAGAGGAGAGAAUGUUAGAUGUAGAGAAGUGAGAGAAGUAAACCCGCCAAAGGCAGAUCUAAGACACUGGAUCUAACCCCAUAAGCUUAACCGACACAACCGGAGAAUUGUUUUCGCCGUCGGCACGCUCACCCGACCCGUAAACCCAAAUACACGAUUGAACUCCGCCUUGAGCCACAGUCCCCUAACAGCUCGGAAUCAAUACAAGUAACAAACGUGAGCCACCUCUGCCUCGAGCCAGAGAAGAAAUCGUUUGAUUUUC